rnacentral:rRNA from 1 species
GCCCCCCGAAUUGUGGUCUAGAGAGGCGUCAUCGGCCGCGCCCGCCGCUCAAGUCCCUUGGAACAGGGUGUCGGAGAGGGUGAGAAUCCCGUACCGUGGCGGGUUGCGGCCUUACGAUGCGUCCUCGUCGAGUCGGGUUGCUUGGGAUUGCAGCUUGAAUUGGGUGGUAAAUUCCAUCUAAAGCUAAAUACUGGCGAGAGACCGAUAGCGAACAAGUACCGUGAGGGAAAGAUGCAAAGAACUUUGAAAAGAGAGUCAAAGAGUGCUUGAAAUCGGUAGGAGGAAACCCGGAUGGGCCCGGCUUCGGCGCGCCGACUCAGCCUGGGGUUCUCCCCAGGUGCACUUCUGCGCGCCGGGUCAGCCGCGCCUCGGCGCCGCGCCUCAACCCGGGAGCGGGGCUUUACGGCCAGCUCCCGUCCUGGCGCGGCCCGGGGCCCGGCUGACGGAACGGGCCCCUCCGACCCGUCUAGAAACACGGACCAAGGAGUCUGACACGUGUGCGAGUACCCGGGUGGCAAGCCCGCGUGCGGAAUGAAAGUGAAGGGCAUGCCCUGCCAACCGACCUUGACCUGCUGUGAGGGGUUUGAGUGGAGCACACCUGUCGGGACCCGAAAGAUGGUGAACUAUGCCU